GGAGGGGCGUGGACCCAAGAAGUCCCUGUGCGCUUGCGCAGAGACCGAACUACCGCUUUCCCCGUAACCAGGGAGACUGCAGUUUGCAGUGAUGUGGCUAAGAUACCCUUGUGCUAUUAAAGGCACAUUUACGUAUCUUUCAACGCAGUUUGUACCUUUGUUUAGGGUUCUAUUGAACUUUCUCUGUGCUCUUUAGAAAACCGUCGAAUAAAGGUAACCAUCUUUUUGGGUGCCUGGGCAUGGUCAUUGUCCCAGAGUUUUAACAGAAGUCUCUACUAAAGUAUCCUGAUUUGCAAGAACUCAAAUGAUGCUGUUUUUGGACAGGGAGGUCAUGGACCAAGUACAAAGCGGCAAAAGGAUGGAAUUAAGGGAUAUUUCCAGUGAAAGAAAGAAGAAAGCAUGCUUUUCUCUUGACUGUGCAGAAAAAAAAACUAUGUUUCUUUGAUUCUCCAUUUUACUAGAUGCCAUACCUUUGCAAUUACUUCAUGUGGAGUCUUGACCAAGAUUCAGGAAAUACUAGAACUUUCAGUCCCAGAAGGUUACUCUGGGCAUUACUAGUCCCCAUCAUUAUGAGUUGAGUUUUACUAGUUAAUUUCAGACGAAAAAUAUUUGUUUUUCCCCAAAUUCUGGGGUUACGUACUUUUACUACCUAUGAACUGACAACUGUAUCUUCAGUAAUUACAAUUUCCAACAAAAUGUUAUAGGAAUAAAGAAAAGAUGUUAGUUCAUUAUUCAGAGUUUAUGUUUAUUCCUUUAAUAAAAAGAAAUGGUCUGU
rnacentral:lncRNA from 1 species